GAUGAACGCUGGCGGCGUGCCUAAUACAUGCAAGUCGAGCGAACGGACGAGAAGCUUGCUUCUCUGAUGUUAGCGGCGGACGGGUGAGUAACACGUGGAUAACCUACCUAUAAGACUGGGAUAACUUCGGGAAACCGGAGCUAAUACCGGAUGAUAUUUUGAACCGCAUGGUUCAAAAGUGAAAGACGGUCUUGCUGUCACUUAUAGAUGGAUCCGCGCUGCAUUAGCUAGUUGGUAAGGUAACGGCUUACCAAGGCAACGAUGCAUAGCCGACCUGAGAGGGUGAUCGGCCACACUGGAACGUGGACACGGUCCAGACUCCUACGGGAGGCAGCAGUAGGGAAUCUUCCGCAAUGGGCGAAAGCCUGACGGAGCAACGCCGCGUGAGUGAUGAAGGUCUUCGGAUCGGAAAACUCUGUUAUUAGGGAAGAACAUAUGUGUAAGUAACUGUGCACAUCUUGACGGUACCUAAUCAGAAAGCCACGGCUAACUACGUG
rnacentral:rRNA from 1 species